GCGGGUGUAGCUCAGUUGGUUAGAGCGCCAGAUUGUGGCUCUGGAGGUCGUGGGUUCGAAACCCAUCGUUCGCCCCA
rnacentral:tRNA from 1 species